GGUACUUUGAGGUGCGUAAACGCCACUUAGAGCCGAGACCCCUGUACUGCAGGAUAAAUUUGAAUGUUCCUGUCCUGGACCGUUUUUUUAAUGGCCAGGACACCAGACCCGAUUUUAGGUUGAGCAGGGAGGCCCUGGCAGUGCUGCUUGACCUUCUCCACCAGGAGCGGAGACAUGGAUAGGGUGCCACCAUUGAAACCCUGGUGUUUCUCUUCUGGCUGGCUUGUGGGGCAUCAUACAGGGUGGUCUCGAGAGUGUUUGGGAUACCUCGUUCCACUGUCCACCGCAUCGUCCACAGGGUCACUGAGGAGGUGGUGGCCAUUCGCCACAGUCAUCCAACUCCCGAAGACCCCUGAAGACCUGGAGGAGGUGACCCGUGGGUUUGCAGGGCUGGCAAGACACCGCGCUUUUGUGAAAGCAGCGGGAGCAAUCGACGGCUGCCAUGUCCGUAUCAAGCCACCGAGCGGCCCUGAAGGUCACUGCUACAUGAACAGGAAACUUUUUCCAUCAAUCAUUCUGCAGGCUGUUUGUGACCAUCAGGG
ensembl:lncRNA